AGCAAUGCCUGGUCCCAGCUCACUGGCCCUUAGAGAUGACCACAGAUCCAGGGACUCCGCCCGGCGGCCAAGGGCAGCGGCCUGGUCAGGCGCUGCGGGCGCAGUACUCGGGAAGAAGCCAGGCUCUCUCAGAGAGAGACAGGAGAACAUUUUUACCAUCUUCCUGCAGUGGGACUUAGACAAAGGAAUAACGAACUGCAGAGCUGAGUGAAGCCCUGCACCUCCAGCUGAAGUUCAAGCCCAAGUGAGUCUAACAUCUCAAUUACAAGACACGGAGAAAGCAUGCCAGCCAGCCAAAACCGCCUGAAACCGAGGGAAGUCAUGAGAAAAACAGCUGCCUAACAAUUCCAGAAGACACAGAAUCACGUGAGGAGCCUCGGAUGCAAAGUGGACCAUCAUCUCCUAACUAGGGGCAAAAAGCAGGCUCAGUUCCAUUGACAUAACACGCACUGGGCAAGAAUAGAGCUGGCAAAUAAAUGAAAAUGCUCUCUAAGAAGUUGGAAUAUUUCACAAAGGAAAGCUCAACAGACCACUGUGGCAGGACAUAGCAGGAAGUCAGAGCUACAGGAACCACUCUGCAGGAACCACUGUGAUCCAUGAAGGGGCAGCCACACCCUGGAGCACAUCUCUGUAGAAGCUGGCACAGGAAACAAUAUAUCCAUUCUAAUCAGCAGAGUUCACAGGCUGAUAUGUGACUCAGCAUACACAGAAAUUUGUUUUGAAGCCAUAUCCAUUGGAGACUCUACUACUUUUGCAUCCCCAAAGCAUGUGUAUAUUGGCCUCAAAUCCAUGCUUUUCUGAACCUAUCGUAGAACCCUUGAAACAGGUCAAGUAGUGGCAUGGGCUUAAGUUCACCACACACUUGCAUAACAGUUGUAAAAAAUAUUUUGUAACUUCCAGUGUCCUCCUAAAGGAGCUUGUAAAUGUUUCUGGCCUUCUUUCAAACAGACCUUUCUCCAAAACUCACUGCAAAUAACCAGAGCUUUCUCCAAAGUGCCUGCCAAGGAACACGGCUUUCUCUGAUGGAAUAAAUAAACAAAUAAAGCACGGACAGCAGCGGGGCCUACAGAGUGACCACCAGCUCAAACUGUCCCGUAGCUGUGUUCCUCAACCAGCUUGGCUCAGCAGCACAUGCUGCCUGCCGCUGUCAGAAGCCAAACAGAGCAGUGCACUUGAAGGAUGGCUGCUUCUGGAUAUGUUGGUUUCAUCGGAUUUUCUCCUCUAGGAAGGGUCAGAAUUCCAGACGACCCUCCUAAAAUGUAAGAUUCCAGUCUCCAUUUUUAUUUGAACCAUGUCUACCAGUAGAAAGAACUGUACCGGUUGUGACAAGGCCACACCAGCAGGGCCUAAUCAGGACCCUGUAAACUUAAAAAGCGAAGCAGGGCCUCAUGAGUGCCUAUGCUACACUUUUCUAUUGACUUUAAAGUAUAAUCGAGGAGCAGGGAGAUGGCUCAGCGGAUAAGACCAUUUGCAGCAGAAGCAUGAGGACCCAAUCCCAAAUGUCUAGCACUGCAAAAAGUGCACGUGCCUGCAACCCCAGCUGCAAUGACAAGAAAAAGAGAAAUCCCAAGUAGCCAGACUAGCCAAAAUGGUUCAGUGUCCGUCACAAGGCAAUAAGGCAGUCAGAAACAGGGGAAGCCACCGGUGUCCUGCUCUUCUGGCCUCUGCAUGCACACUCACGGGUGUACACACUGCACACUUACAUGCAUGCACCACAUAUACAAACCACAUACAUAAAAACGUGUCGCCAAAAUGCUGCUUCCGACUCCCCAUGAAUGGCUAACUGCAGCCCAACUUGUAUCACCCUUUGCCAUCCCAUCCAUGCCCCGCUGGGCUAGAGCAGUGGUCUCGGCCCUCUCUUCCCAGACUCUGACCUGCCAAUAUAUGCUAUUUAUGUAGGGUAAGGUGGUCUAAAGCCAUUGGAACAAAAGUAAGGAGGGGAUGGCCAGGGGAAGGAAAGGGGGCUAGGAGGAGGGAAACAAGUUAUUAUAUGGAUUAAUGUAGAUGCAGUCUCAGGAUCUGUUCUGUGAAUGAAGGAAGCUACUAAAUAUAGUAUGUGUAUUUUUCCUGCCUUUUGCAUAAGAAAAGGUGAACGAAUGAUAUCUAUUUGUGUAAACACUAGAAAAACACAUUAGAAACUAAUAGAUGAGGGAGGGAUCCAGUGAAGGACUGAGAUGACAUGGGCACAACAAACACUUCUCACUUAUGAGGUGCUGAGGGUUGAUCUCAGAGCCUUGCGCAUUCUGAGGAAAUGCUUGGCCACUGAGUUCUAUGCCCAGGCCAAGACUUCUUCAUAUAGUAAUUUAAAUCAGUCGGUUUUUUAAGUCAUGAGAAUGUUUUUUAUAUAUAAACAUUUAUGACAUUAUAUAUAUAAACAUAUAUAUAAAUGUUUUAUAUGUCUAUUUUUUUUUUUUUUAGUGAGAGAGAAUUACUAUUUAUCUUGGAUAGAGGGGAAAGGUUAGCUGUUACUGCCCCAGCAUAUGAAACCCAGUGAGAGGGACUCUAAAUCCCAGCACUUAAGGAACUGAGGCAGGAGGCUCACAAAGUCAAAGCAAGCCUGGACACCACAGGGAGAUCCCGUCUCAAUCAAAGAAAGCCAACAAGCAACCAAACAAAACCAGAAAGAAACAAAUCUAUUAUGGUCCCCAAUAAUUUUGUUUGAGACAACAUCAGUUUCUGGCUCUUACUGUGAAGCUCACCAAAACAUUAAAAAAAACAAAAACAAAAAACAAAAAAAAACCAAAAAACAAAAACCUGGGCCUCCCCGGUGGCACAGCAGAAUGAGCAUCCGGGUACGGGUGGAGGACUGGAGCCUCAUGGCAAGAACCAUGGGUACGCGUCUACCUCCGCUCUCUCUCCACAAUAGCCAGUGACAGCGAGGAAGGCUUGAGACUCGGAGAAACCUCCUCUUCCUCCUACCUCAAAUGUCAGGCCUUCCGGUGGCUGAGGAAGAAUUUUCCCUCUGUAAAAUCCAGAAAUCCCCUCCUGCAGAGGCUGACUUCAACAAACUUGGUCAGGCAAACCGCCUGUUGGAGAGUACUCCGAAAGCGGUUCAAGUCGGCCAUCUUAAGCAGAAACCAUCCACACGAGAAACUUCUCAGGAUCUACGUGUGCCUCAUAUGGCCAUUACCAUCAUGGAAAAAAUGAAGCUUUCCAAGAUUGGGAUGAGGAUGAGACACAGUCAACUCUAAGCUAGGAGAGAAGGAAAGAGGCAGGAGGCUGGGCACGCCUUUCAGCCAAUGCACUUCUCCUCUGAGCAGUGACUUCCUCCAAAAAAGAGGCAACUUUCAAAGCACUUUAGGAAAAGCUGUGAAUAUUUUAUCCAAAUAAAAUAAAAUGUCUUUAUUACCUACUUAUUCUUUGGGAACUUUGUAUAGUAUAUUUUAUCAUGCUCUUCCAACUGCUAACUCUUCCCAGAUUCCCUCCAUCCAUCCAAUUUCAAGUUCUUUCUCUCUUUUAAAAAAGGAAGCCCCCUGUGGAGGCUUCAUGCCCCAGAGAAGGGGGAUGCUAGAGGGUUGAGGGUGGAGUGGGUGGGUUGGAGGGCGGGUGCACCAUCUAAGAGGCAAAGGAAAUGGGGAGGGUGGGGCUUAGUGGAAGUAAGACCAGGAAGGGAGACAUUUGAAAUCUAAAUAAAUAAAAUAAUUAAUAAAAAAGAAACUUAAAAAAGAAAUAGUUACAGCCUAGCCAGGUAAAUAUAUUGCUAUAAAUCUCAUUUAACUUUCCCACCUCACUGGAAUAGGCUCAUAAAAGACAACAAAAACCUGCAGAAAACUCAGUGACAGAAUAAGAUUGUCUAUACAGUCUGUGUAUUUAGAAAUAAAAUGGCACAAUCAGGUAUAAAGAAGAGACCACAUUACAGUUAAUAAAAAAUCAAUCUCACAAUCUCAAAGUAAAAAAAAAAAAAAAAGGAAAA